AUCUCUGAAAAAAUCAACUCACCCAGUAAAAGCUGCUCCUUAUUGCAUCAUAGAACACUUGUGAUGUUAUCAUUCUAUCGCCAAGGAGGCUGUCUGAAAAGGAAAUUCGCCCAAUUCGAAUCUGCUGAUUGAAUUACAGAACACUUGACAAAUCGCGGGAUGAUCUCUUUAAAAAUCAACUCACCCAGUAAAAGCUGCUCCUUAUUGCAUCAUAGAACACUUGUGAUGUUAUCAUUCUAUCGCCAAGGUAACUAACAUGGGCAGAGGGUGGUAAGAGCAAGUAAGGGACUUAGAGAGAUCAUUCCUGCAAAGGAAACAAGGAGGCAGGUUGUGGGUGGUGUUUGGGACAGUGGUAUUUUGACAUAGUAUGUAAUGUUAUGUUAUACAAAUAUUGGCUGCGGAUUAUUGUAUUAUGCUGUGAUUUGCGAUAGAUUACUAUGUGGCACUGGGUCUGGGUUUAGAAUUGGCUUCUUGUGGGUUAGUGGGUUACUGUUAAUGCCACGACUAUUUUGUUAUGGAAAUUUCAGUGGUGGAAUGAUAGUUUUGAUAUUCUAUAAUACCCUCUUUCAGAUUAGUUGCUAAUUUUCUCAUGGCUCAUUUACACUUCAAGAUAUUUAUAUUUAUUUUCAAUACUUAGAGAACUCGUUGACUUUUGGAGCCAAUGGCACAAGACCAUAAGAUUCGUCAAGGGAUCUCAGAGAUGUCAUAAGUUUACCCACCCACUUCGCCAUAGGCAAACUUUGGGAUCCACAGAGGAACAGUGAAUAGUUUAAGAUCCCAUAGCCUUGGAAUUAUUUUGUUGAGAAUUUCAUACCUUUCAAAACGUGUUGUGUGCCAGAGAUACAAAAAUUCAUCUGUUGUUCACAUCCUUAGUUUGAGGGCCGGAAUGUACACUUGUAAUCAAUCUAUUUAUAGACAGGUUUGACAUUGGGUGGAAUAUUGUUCAGUUUCUUCAUUUAUAAAAUGAAGAUAGUAAUACAGUCAAUUUCCUGGAGUGGUUGUCAUGUGCAGAUAGGAUAUUCGGAAAGCACUUUGGAAACCUGAAACUAUCGUACAAAUGAGAGAUAUUAUUAUCAUUAUCAGCACUGUUUUUCCCAUUUAUUACAUGCUUAUCACUACUGUGACCUCUUGGAUAGCAAACCAUGGUCUUGAGGUGACAAGGGAACAAUUGAGCGUAUUCUCCCUAUAUAAUACAAUUUGUGUUAGUGGACAUUUAUUGCAGCAAUCUGAGUGAUAUGCAACAUUGAUUUUGAGACUUUUACUGUCUAAUCCUAGGAGGCUGUCUGAAAAGGAAAUUCGCCCAAUUCGAAUCUGCUGAUUGAAUUACAGAACACUUGACAAAUCGCGGGAUGAUCUCUUUAAAAAUCAACUCACCCAGUAAAAGCUGCUCCUUAUUGCAUCAUA